UAUGGGAAGAAAGGCUAAGGGAGGAAGGGAGAAGAAAGGAAGCAAAACAGCACGGAGGAAUCUGAAGGAGUUUGUGAUGAAGAGGCUGCAAUUACCAGGGCCACGUCACUGGUCACAUAGGAGAGUGAUCAGCAUAUCUUGGGAGUACAGUAGA